UACGUAGGGUGCAAGCAUUGUCCGGAAUUAUUGGGCGUAAAGAGCUCGUAGGCGGUCUGUCGCGUCGGCUGUGAAAACCCGGGGCUCAACCCCGGGCCUGCAGUCGAUACGGGCAGACUAGAGUGUGGUAGGGGAGACUGGAAUUCCUGGUGUAGCGGUGAAAUGCGCAGAUAUCAGGAGGAACACCGGUGGCGAAGGCGGGUCUCUGGGCCAUAACUGACGCUGAGGAGCGAAAGCGUGGGGAGCGAACAGG
rnacentral:rRNA from 1 species